AUACCUGUAGCGCAAUAGAUGGCGCGUUGGAUUUAUAAUCCAAAGAUCGUGCGUUCAAAUCCCAUCUGGAAUG